rnacentral:rRNA from 1 species
GGGAAAAUAAAUAUUAUUGGUUGGUAGUUAAUUUUUUUUUAUUUAUGAGAUUAAUUAUUUUUAGGUGAAAUUUUAAUUUUUUAAUAUUUAUAUUAUAUGAAGCUACGAAAUUUAUUUUAUAAACAAGGAUUAGAUACCCUUUUAUUAUAAAUGUAAAUACUGUGACCAGGGUAGUAUUAGUUAUGUACUUUAAACCCAAAGAAUUUGGCGGUAUUUUAGUCCUUUCAGAGGAAUCUGUCCCGUAAUCGAUAAUCCACGAGAUAUAUUACUUGUCUUUGUUUUCAGUUUGUAUACCUCCGUCAUAAGAGAAUCUUUUUAGAGUUAAAUUUCUUAAUACAUUUGGUGUAUCAUGUCAGGUCAAGGUGCAAUUUAUAGAUAAGUGGAGAUGGAUUACAAUAAAAUUAUUUAAACGGAAUGGAUUGUUUACUCUUUCUAUGAAGGUGGAUUUGAUAGUAAUUUUAAUUAUUUGUUAAUAUGAUUUUGGCUCUAAAAUAUGCACACAUCGCCCGUCGCUCUCAUUUUUAAAAUGAGAUAAGUCGUAACAUAGUAGAUGUAUCGGAAGAUGUAUCUAGAACGUAAA